UACGGAGGUGGCAAGCGUUGUUCGGAAUUACUGGGCGUAAAGGGCGCGUAGGCGGCCUUCUAAGUCAGACGUGAAAUCCCCCGGCUUAACCUGGGAACUGCGUCUGAUACUGGGAGGCUUGAGUAUGGGAGAGGGAUGUAGAAUUCCAGGUGUAGCGGUGAAAUGCGUAGAUAUCUGGAGGAAUACCGGUGGCGAAGGCGGCAUCCUGGACCAUUACUGACGCUGAGGCGCGAAAGCGUGGGGAGCAAACAGG
rnacentral:rRNA from 1 species